rnacentral:rRNA from 1 species
AAUCCAGAGAUGGAUUUGUGCCUUCGGGAACUGUGAGACAGGUGCUGCAUGGCUGUCGUCAGCUCGUGUUGUGAAAUGUUGGGUUAAGUCCCGCAACGAGCGCAACCCUUAUCCUUUGUUGCCAGCGAUUAGGUCGGGAACUCAAAGGAGACUGCCAGUGAUAAACUGGAGGAAGGUGGGGAUGACGUCAAGUCAUCAUGGCCCUUACGACCAGGGCUACACACGUGCUACAAUGGCGCAUACAAAGAGAAGCGACCUCGC